UACGUAGGGGGGCAAGCGUUGUCCGGAUUUAUUGGGCGUAAAGCGCACGUAGGCGGCUUUGUAAGUAAGAGGUGAAAGCCCAGAGCUCAACUCUGGAAUUGCCUUUUAGACUGCAUCGCUUGAAUCAUGGAGAGGUCAGUGGAAUUCCGAGUGUAGAGGUGAAAUUCGUAGAUAUUCGGAAGAACACCAGUGGCGAAGGCGGCUGACUGGACAUGUAUUGACGCUGAGGUGCGAAAGCGUGGGGAGCAAACAGG
rnacentral:rRNA from 1 species